rnacentral:rRNA from 1 species
UACGGAGGGUGCAAACGUUGCUCGGAACCAUUGGGCGUAAAGCGCACGUAGGCGGACUGUUAAGUCGGAUGUGAAAUCCCUCAGCUUAACUGAGGAAGUGCACUCGAAACUGGCAGUCUUGAGUAUGGAAGAGGGUCGCGGAAUUCCCGGUGUAGAGGUGAAAUUCGUAGAUAUCGGGAGGAACACCAGUGGCGAAGGCGGCGAUCUGGGAAGAUACUGACGCUGAGGUGCGAAAGCGUGGGGAGCAAACAGG